UCAGUGUCUGUUGACCUUCACUGACCUUGGAGUGACUUGGGGAACUUGACAAAAAAUGGAUGCCAGGGAUUCCUCCUUAAGGAGUCUAAUUUCAUCAGCCUUGAAAAUGUACUAGGUGUCAGGAUUUUUUAAAGUUCCUCCUGUGAUUCUAAAGUGCAAGCCAAGGAUUUCAUCUUAUCAGAGCCUUGUUAAAUGAACACUGGUAUGGAUUUCUGGUUCUCUCACAGAGCAGUUUUGAAUGCAUUACUUAAAUAUAUAAACUACAUAUGGAAAAGUCCUGUUGAGAUUUCUAAGCAGUGGAAUUCCACCAUUCCCAAACAGGUGUAAGGUGAGAGUUCAGAGGGAAAGAUGAACCCCAGUGGCUGAAAAAGACAGGGUUACAAGAACUCUCUCCAUUCACUUCCCCUCGAGAAGUGCAAGAUGAACUUUCAUCCCACCUACACUCAAGUUCAACAUCAUUUACCUUUGUGAUGAAUCUGCUGCUGUCUUGAUACAGUGUCAAGGAGGAACCAGAUCAUGCAGUGGAGGUUUUCUCAUCAGGGGAAGAAGGCGCUACCCCUCAAAGCAUCCAUCACCUAUUCAAAACAAUAGCAACAGCAACGCUGAUAUCACUGGACUGUAUGUAAAGGUGUCUGGUACUGUUCUAAGCUUUAUAGGUACAAACACAGUAUGCUACACCUAAGACUGGUGACUAUCGUCACUCCCACUUCAUAGAUAAGACCGUGGCACAAAAGGUUUUCUGGAUAUUAUACCCAAAGCUUCUAUGAACAUCCAUGUACAGGCUUUUUGAGAACAGACAAAAAUCCUUCUCUGGAAUAA